rnacentral:tRNA from 1 species
UCCCUGGUGGUCUAGUGGUUGGGGCUUGGCACUUUUGCUGCUGUGGUCUGGGUUCAAUUCCUGGUUUGGGAA